GUGCCAGUAGUUCAGUUGGUUAGAGCGUCGGAUUGUGGUUCCGAAGGUCGUGGGUUCGAAUCCCACCUGGCACC
rnacentral:tRNA from 1 species